AUUGAACGCUGGCGGCAGGCCUAACACAUGCAAGUCGAACGAGUGGCGGACGGGUGAGUAAUGUCUGGGAAACUGCCCGCUGGAGGGGGAUAACUACUGGAAACGGUAGCUAAUACCGCAUACCAUCGGAUGUGCCCAGUUGGGGUUAGCUAUUAGGUGGGGUAACGGCUCACCGAGGCGACGAUCCCUAGCUGGUCUGAGAGGAUGACCAGCCACACUGGAACUGGGAAACGGUCCAGACUCCUACGGGAGGCAGCAGUGGGGAAUAGUGCACAAUGGGCGCAAGCCUGAUGCAGCCAUGCCGCGUGUAUGAAGAGGGCCUUCGGGUUGUAAAGUACUUUCAGCGGGGAGGCGUUACCCGCAGAAGAAGCACCGGCUAACUCCGUGCCAGCAGCCGCGGUAAUAC
rnacentral:rRNA from 1 species